CGGAGUCUGCAACCCGACUCCGUGAAGCUGGAUUCGCUAGUAAUCGCGCAUCAGCCAUGGCGCGGUGAAUACGUUCCCGGGCCUUGUACACACCGCCCGUCAAGCCAUGGGAGCCGGGAGCGCUUGAAGCGCGUCGCCGCGAGGCGCGCCCUAGAGCGAGACCGGUGACUGGGGGCUAAGUCGUAACAAGGUACC
rnacentral:rRNA from 1 species